CAAACCCUCCGAGGACCGAGCCUCCCGCAGUCUCUGGGGGACCUGGCCACGUGCUUUCCCGCCCUCCUCGUGAGAGCGGUGCCCGACAUCCAGCCUCAGCCUGCCCCGCUGCAGCUGGAGGCGGCUCCUCGCCGUGGCACCUGCCGGCCCACGGGGACGUUGGCAAGCGGCUGGUGCCUGCGGGCGGCCCGGCUCCGGCCCGGGGCAGCCCCGCCAGGCUGGGGGAGGAGGCGGCGGCGGCCGGUGGCAGCACCUUCCUCCGCCGCCCCGGCCUCUGCCUCGGGCGCGCUCCCGGGCCCGGGGGCUUGCCGGAGUCCGGCGCUGCAGCGGGGGAGACAGAGAAACGUGCCGCGUCCCUCAGGGCAUGGGAAGAAAUCCCCGCUCCCUCCCCUGCGAGGGGAGACGGCGCUGGGCCCCUCCCCCCCGAGAGUGGCACCCAGCAAGGGGCCAAGCAGACGCGGGGGAGGCGGCCUCCCGGUCAUCCUCUCCCACGGAGCAGCAUCAUUUCCUCCCCCGGCACUUCUCUGGGUGAAUCACCCGGGCCAUGACAGAUCCCCCGGCGGCAGCAGAAACGACCUGGAAACCUGGAUUUCAACUUCAAAUCAAUCAUUAAAAAAAAAAAAAAAAAAAAAGGAGGCUCGUGCUUAGCUGCAGGGAGUUGGAGUAGAUGAGGACCCUUCCAGCCACACCUUGGUCCGAGAGUCCUGUUAGGGCUGGAAGGAGACCAUCCAGUCCAAGCCCUGCUCGGAGCAGGACUUCUCUAUGACUUCUCUCCCAAGACAGCUUGCAGCAGAGCACCCGUUUUCUUCAGGUGGGGGGGUUAUUUUUUGGGGUUUUUUUAAUAAACAACAUGGAAAGCUGGA